CACAGCCAACUCUUCCACCCAGUUCUUACUUAAAACCCGUUCAACAAAUCGUACUCACAAUUCUCUCCCAGUACCUCAACUUUUCUAUAAUCACCGUUUCACCCCAAUCUCUCUGAAAUCAUUUUCAUUUUCGUUCCUCUGAUCACCAUAAUCACCUACUGCAGCGACAACCACCAUGUGUGGCGGUGCUAUAAUCUCCGACUUCAUCCCUCCCACCGCCGCUGGGCGAUCCCCGCGACGGUUGACGGCGGACUUUCUCUGGCCUGAUCUAAAGAAGCCCAUUGGGAAGCAGUACUCGAAGCCUGUUGUUGGCGAUCUUGACGAUGAUUUCGAGGCUGAUUUCCAGGAGUUUAAGGAUGAGUCUGAUGUCGAUGAGGAAGAUGAUGUCUUGCUUGAUGUCAAGCCAUUUGCUUUCUCUGCUACUGCUUCUCCUCCUCCUUGCAAUCGCAGUCUCUCACGUGGUUCUGCUGCAAAAUCUGUAGAAUUCAAUGGGCAAGCUGAAAAAUCUGCAAAGAGAAAGAGAAAGAACCUGUAUAGAGGAAUCCGGCAGCGCCCAUGGGGAAAAUGGGCUGCUGAGAUUCGUGACCCCAGGAAAGGGGUGCGUGUCUGGCUAGGAACAUUCAAUACUGCUGAAGAAGCUGCAAGAGCAUAUGAUGCCGAGGCACGCAGAAUUCGUGGUAAGAAAGCUAAAGUGAACUUUCCUGAUGAAGCUCCACGUGCUUCCAAGAAGUGUACAACUAAGGCAAACACUCAGAAACCACUUGCUAAGACAAAUGUGACUGAGAGUUUGAGUUACUUGAGCAAUCCAGAACAGGACUACUACAAUACCUUGGGCUUUGUUGAUGAGAAACCACUUGUGAAUCAGUUCGGUUUAAUGGACUCUUGUCCUGCCAAUGGAGAUGCUACAGUCAAAUCCAUUCCUCCGUGUGAUAAUGUCCCCAUGUAUUUCAAUUCUGAUCAGGGGAGUAACUCAUUUGAAUGUUCUGACUUUGGAUUGGGAGAUCAGGCCUCAAAGACUCCUGAAAUCUCAUCUGUUCUUUCAGCUACUCCAGAAAUUGAUGAAUCUCUGUUUAUGGAGGAUGCUAGCCCUAAAAAGCGGAUGAAGUCUGACUCUGGAAAUGUGGUUCCUGUAGAAGAAAACAAUGAAAAAUCUCUAUCUGAAGAGCUGUUGGCUUUCGACAAUCAGAUGAACUUUCAGAUGCCAUAUCUUGAUGGGAGUUGGGUGGCCUCGCUUGAUAGCUUCCUUAAUGGAGAUGCAACUCAGGAUGGUGGAAAUCCAAUGGACCUUUGGAGCUUUGAUGACCUCCCUAAUUUGGAUGGGGGUCUUUAUUGAGCGAAAUCUUAAUUGCCUGUUAGCUUCUGUAAAUAAGGCUACAUGUUAGGAUGGUUUUCUCUCUGAUAUGUAGUACAAGCACACCUGAACAUGCUUAAUCCUUUGUGGAGAGUGUUCUAGGAAGCUUUUGGGACAAUAGUAAAUAGAAGUUCAAAUGGCUUUUGUCUUCAUCAGACUUUCCCUUAUGCUUUGCUCCCUUUCAAGGCCUUUCCUUGACUUCUGUGACCUCAGUGUUCCUUCCAUAACAUUGAACCUAUUCCAUUUGCUUAUUUUAUUUGUUGAAGUGUUCUAUUUUCUUUACCCAGGUUGCUUAGAUCAAGACUCGAAAUUAGGAUAUUUUUAUUUUUCAUUUUUAAUUCCGAGACUAUUCUAUAUUGAAGUUUGACCAAGCCGCACAUAUAAAUCCUUUAGAGAGUUUCAAUGUU